AGCGAACGCUGGCGGCAGGCUUAACACAUGCAAGUCGAACGGGCGUAGCAAUACGUCAGUGGCAGACGGGUGAGUAACGCGUGGGAACGUACCUUUUGGUUCGGAACAACACAGGGAAACUUGUGCUAAUACCGGAUAAGCCCUUACGGGGAAAGAUUUAUCGCCGAAAGAUCGGCCCGCGUCUGAUUAGCUAGUUGGCGGGGUAAAGCCCACCAAGGCGACGAUCGAUAGCUGGUCUGAGAGGAUGAUCAGCCACACUGGAACUGAGACACGGUCCAGACUCCUACGGGAGGCAGCAGUAGGGAAUAUUGGACAAUGGGGGCAACCCUGAUCCAGCCAUGCCGCGUGAGUGAAGAAGGCCCUCGGGUUGUAAAGCUCUUUUGUCCGGAAAGAAAAGCAAUCGGUUAAUACCCGGUUGUUCUGACGGUACCGGAAGAAUAAGCACCGGCUAAACUUCGUGCCAGCAGCCGCGGUAUGUGCGCGAGU
rnacentral:rRNA from 1 species